rnacentral:rRNA from 1 species
CCCUUAGAUGUUCUGGGCCGCACGCGCGUUACACUGAUGCAUUCAACAAGCCUAGCCUUGACCGAGAGGUCCGGGUAAUCUUUGAAACUGCAUCGUGAUGGGGCUAGAUUAUUGCAAUUAUUAAUCUUCAACGAGGAAUGCCUAGUAAGCGUGAUUCAUCAAAUCGCGUUGAUUACGUCCCUGCCCUUUGUACACACCGCCCGUCGCUCCUACCGAUUGAAUGUGUUGGUGAGGAGCUCGGAUUGGCAGCAGUUGGUGGUUCGCCACCGGCUAUUGCUGAGAAGUCCUCCAAACCGCCCCAUUUAGAGGAAGGAGAAGUCGUAACA